rnacentral:rRNA from 1 species
AUUGAACGCUGGCGGAAUGCUUUACACAUGCCAGUCGAGCGGCAGCGCGGCCUUCGGGCUGGCGGCGAGCGGCGAACGGGUGAGUAAUGCAUCGGAACAUGCCCAGUCGUGGGGGAUAACACUUCGAAAGAAGUGCUAAUACCGCAUACGUCCUGAGGGGGAAAGCGGGGGAUCGCAAGACCUCGCGCGAUUGGAGUGGCCGAUGUCAGAUUAGCUAGUUGGUGGGGUAAAGGCCUACCAAGGCGACGAUCUGUAGCUGGUCUGAGAGGAUGAUCAGCCACACUGGGACUGAGACACGGCCCAGACUCCUACGGGAGGCAGCAGUGGGGAAUUUUGGACAAUGGGGGCAACCCUGAUCCAGCCGUUCCGCGUGAGUGAAGAAGGCCUUCGGGUUGUAAAGCUCUUUCGGCAGGAACGAAACGGUGGGCUCUAACAUAGUCCGCUAAUGACGGUACCUGAAGAAGAAGCACCGGCUAACUACGUG